rnacentral:rRNA from 1 species
UGGUGGAGUGAUUUGUCUGGUUAAUUCCGUUAACGAACGAGACCUCAGCCUGCUAAUUAGUCGAGCCAAUUACUAAUUGGUCACGGCUUCUUAGAGGGACUAUCUGGCUUUACCAGAGGGAAGUAUGAGGCAAUAACA